AGGGUGAAGCGCGGGUAAGACCGCGUGGAGGCCCGAACCCACUUAGGUUGAAGACUGAGGGGAUGAGUUGUGGGUAGGGGUGAAAGGCCAAUCAAACUCCGUGAUAGCUGGUUCUCCCCGAAAUGCAUUUAGGUGCAGCGUCGCAGUGUUCGUGUCGGAGGUAGAGCUACUGGAUGGCCGAUGGGCCUCACAAGGUUACUGACGUCAGCCAAACUCCGAAUGCCGACACGGUUGAAUGCGGCAGUGAGACGGCGG
rnacentral:rRNA from 1 species